UUGGCUGGAUGAUGACCACUGGUGGUGCAUAAGACAUGGAUCAUGAUGAUAGCCCUGGAAGCCUGAGGUCUAC